rnacentral:rRNA from 1 species
UGGGGAAUAUUGCACAAUGGGGGAAACCCUGAUGCAGCGACGCCGCGUGGAGGAAGAAGGUCUUCGGAUUGUAAACUCCUGUUGUUGAGGAAGAUAAUGACGGUACUCAACAAGGAAGUGACGGCUAACUACGUGCCAGCAGCCGCGGUAAAACGUAGGUCACAAGCGUUGUCCGGAAUUACUGGGUGUAAAGGGAGCGCAGGCGGGAAGACAAGUUGGAAGUGAAAUCCAUGGGCUCAACCCAUGAACUGCUUUCAAAACUGUUUUUCUUGAGUAGUGCAGAGGUAGGCGGAAUUCCCGGUGUAGCGGUGGAAUGCGUAGAUAUCGGGAGGAACACCAGUGGCGAAGGCGGCCUACUGGGCACCAACUGACGCUGAGGCUCGAAAGUGUGGGUAGCAAACAGGAUUAGAUACCCUGGUAGUCCACACUGUAAACGAUGAUUACUAGGUGUUGGAGGAUUGACCCCUUCAGUGCCGCAGUUAACACAAUAAGUAAUCCACCUGGGGAGUACGACCGCAAGGUUGAAACUCAAAGGAAUUGACGGGGGCCCGCACAAGCAGUGGAGUAUGUGGUUUAAUUCGACGCAACGCGAAGAACCUUACCAAGUCUUGACAUCCUGCGACGAUGCUGGAAACAGUAUUUUCCUUCGGGACGCAGAGACAGGUGGUGCAUGGUUGUCGUCAGCUCGUGUCGUGAGAUGUUGGGUUAAGUCCCGCAACGAGCGCAACCCUUAUGGUCAGUUACUACGCAAGAGGACUCUGGCCAGACUGCCGUUGACAAAACGGAGGAAGGUGGGGAUGACGUCAAAUCAUCAUGCCCUUUAUGACUUGGGCUACACACGUACUACAAUGGCGUUAAACAAAGAGAAGCAAGACCGCGAGGUGGAGCAAAACUCAGAAACAACGUCCCAGUUCGGACUGCAGGCUGCAACUCGCCUGCACGAAGUCGGAAUUGCUAGUAAUCGUGGAUCAGCAUGCCACGGUGAAUACGUUCCC